UACGAAGGGGGCUAGCGUUGUUCGGAAUCACUGGGCGUAAAGCGCACGUAGGCGGAUGUGUCAGUCAGGGGUGAAAUCCCGGAGCUCAACUUCGGAACUGCCUCUGAUACAGCAUGUCUUGAGUCCGGAAGAGGUGGGUGGAAUUCCUAGUGUAGAGGUGAAAUUCGUAGAUAUUAGGAAGAACACCGGUGGCGAAGGCGGCCCACUGGUCCGGUACUGACGCUGAGGUGCGAAAGCGUGGGGAGCAAACAGG
rnacentral:rRNA from 1 species